GACAGAGGGUGCAAGCGUUGUUCGGAUUUAUUGGGCGUAAAGAGCGUGUAGGCGGCCAAGCAGGUCCGCUGUGAAAACUCGAGGCUCAACCUCGAGACGUCGGUUGAAACCGUAAGGCUAGAGUCCGGAAGAGGAGAGUGGAAUUCCCGGUGUAGCGGUGAAAUGCGCAGAUAUCGGGAAGAACACCCGUGGCGAAGGCGGCUCUCUGGGACGGUACUGACGCUGAGACGCGAAAGCGUGGGGAGCGAACAGG
rnacentral:rRNA from 1 species